CCAGAGCCCGACGCGGGGCUCGAACUCACGGACCGCGAGAUCGUGACCUGGCUGAAGUCGGACGCUUAACCGACUGCGCCACCCAGGCGCCCCUUGGAUACCAUCUUACAGGUGGGAAAACGGAGAACCAGAGCAGCCAAGUGAUAAGUCCAAGGUCACAUGCCAAUUAGUGGCCAAGCAGAGCCUAGAAUCUAGUUAUUACCCCUUCUUUGGUGUUCUUUCCUCUGUGGCAGAUUUCAAGCACCGAUUUCAACUUAGACUUGCACACCGGAAACCCCCUGGGCAAUUACACUGAUGCCUGGGUCCCCUGCCCCUCGGUUCUGAUUUAGGUGAUGUGAAGUGGGGCCUGGGGCAUCAGGACUUUUCAAAGCUCCCCAGGUGAGGAGAACCUUGGGCUAGUGGUUCUCAAUCCUGGAAUACAUUAAAAUCACAGGGGAGUUUGGAAAAAAGUAGGUAUGCCUGAAGCCCCACCACAACUCAAUCAAAUCGGAAUCUCUGGAAAUAACAUUAAAGGAGAACAAAAGCGGGAGAAUCUUUUGAUGGGAUCUGUCUUCUUUCACUGUCUCUUUUGAUCAGGAAGACUUGACAGCCAGACCCACGUGCCCCGUGGCACUACCACUGCCAAGGCUACGUAUUGUGGGCUCUGAACAAGGAGCCAGACUUCUUGAUUUCAGAAGCUAACAGCAUCCGAGAGGGUCCUCGGGCUUGAGAUUCUCUGCCUUCCUGUCUCGUUAAUUUCAAAUAGCCCCACAAAGUAGUAACAUCACGGAAACGAAAGCCGGCCAGAGAGCAUUUGCAGCUGAAAUCGAGAGGUCUUGCUCUUUCUUCAGAGCCCAUUGGAUCACUGCUCAUGGUGGUCCAACUAGAAUAACCUGGGAAGCUUUCAACGACAACCACACCUUGGCACCAUUCUUGAGAUUCUUAUUCAAUUGGUGAGAUGCAGGGCUUGGGCCGGGGUAGUUUUUAAAAGUUCCCAGGUGCAGUCAGGAGUCGGAAAAGCAUUGAAGGCAGCUGGAUGGCAGGUGCCUCACCUGCACACGGGGGGCUGGAGCGGUUACGCCCUCCUGCGCGUGCCCAGCAUGGGGAGGUGCCUUUGCUGCUCCCCAGCGCGUCACCAGAGAGAAGAUAUGCGGUGUUCCAUCAGCAGGUGGCCACGUCGUCAUUCUUCUCAUUGCUCUUGGGCUUCUUCGGUUAAGCUUGGAAAUAAAAGGUCUCUGUGGUCCCUGCUCCCAUGUGAGGAAUUCAAAGUCAGUCUGCAUACAAUUCCGUAGUGCUGUCACUUUGGGGACUUGGACUUCAUCAUUCUUGUACCUGAGAUAAAGCCCCCUCCCACCUCUCCCUGCACAGAUGAAGAGAAACAGGAAAAGAUUUUUUGAAAAAAAAAUUUCUUAUUAAAGAGGUGAUUCUUCUUCCUUAAUGCCCCGAAGGCUUAUCAAAAUGAGGCCUUUCCAGAAGGAAGUCUCAGGAGGAGCAGUCUUAGAGCUUCAUCAUUUGCAAGUGGGCUCAAAACCGUGUAUCUGCUCCACCCAGACUGGAAUGCCAAAGAGGGUUUCUCAAGCCACAACGCUGGGCAGUGGUCCCGAGGGUGUUGCUUCAUCCACCUGGGUUGCAGAACGAAGAUGAUGCAGAGGAGAGCCACAGCUGGUGGGUGAUGAUCAUGUUGCAAGAGUGAGAAAACAUUUUUGUGAGGUAAUAAAGGGUGAACAGAUAUUCAUCCACAUCAAAGGAGAGAUCUGAAGCCUACAUCAUGACUUAAGAAUGGAACAAUGCCUUCCGCCUUAUAAUUUUGAGAAUUGUUACUGAAAGACUGUUUGGAGUUUCCGUUCUUGGCAACACUGUGAUGCCCAAGACACCUGAGGCCAACGUUUGCAUGUUCCAUUUCAGGCCAGUUGAGCAAGAACCAAGCAACCUCACUUGGUCUACAACUGAUAUCUUACUUUUUGCCUUGGCCGACAAGUCUCAAGAUGUGAAUGAAGCUUCUAGCAAACGGUUGUCUCUCUCACCAAAUGAGUCUGUAAAGGAAGAAUAUACCUAACUGUGAUUGGCUGUCACACCGACUUUCAGGGCAUGGGGACAUUCAAAAGCAACGGGAAAUGGGCUUCAUAAAAGAUAAAAUCAAGACGCUGAAUCCUCUGGAAAAAUAAUAGUCGGAGAGGGUCCCCCUUCCUCAGCUCCCUGGCUGUUUCUGGGACACGAGAGCGGGAAACUUGGGACUUUUCCUGCAAACUCGCCCACGUGCGCGUGUGGUGUUCCCCAAAGGAAAGCACCUGAUGUGGGGUCGUUUCCCUUUGCGAAUUUCACCAGUUAACGGGAUAGGAUUUUCUAAAUGCCACGAGCAUGCCGACCAAACUGCGCGCCGUUCUCUUCGCAUUUCCUGAAGCUGGGUGCGAACUGGAGCGUUCUCACUGCGAGGUUUAAUGCUAGGAUUACUUUCCUCCAAAUGUCACCAAAAAAGAUGAGACCUGAACAUCACAGCUCGUAUAAACACUGUGUCUCCUUCCUCCUGUUACCUUCUCCCUUCUGGUUCAGAAGAGUUAUUCCCGGCGGUUGGAUCUUAAGAAAUUCCACCCAGGGCCACCUCAUAUUCCACACCCGAUUCUUAAACCCACAACACCGGAGCGGCUCCUUGCGGUCCAGCAGUGAAUGCGCCCAAACACUGGCUAGUGACAGUAGGGUCUUUUUGUGCCUGAGCGCGGGCUGCGUUAAUCCCAGAGACAGCAUGCUCUGACUGGUCGCAGUGAGCACAGAUUUCGGUUUUGGGUACGUGUGCAUCCUUUCCUAAGGGACCCACUGGGCUCCAGUGCAGUCAACAGCAUGAUAGGAGAACGAUGUUUUCUUCUUGAGGGGCGACCGAAGGCAGAUGGUUCCCCACGUGAUGGUGUUUUCGGCCUGCCAAAAUCAAGGUGCCAAGAGAGGAGCCGAGGUGCCAAAACUAGUCGAGGAGUUUUACUGCCUCAUUGUAUCCUUCCAAAUAAAAUGACAUCAAAUAUCAGAUA